ACGAACGGCUGGCGGCGUGCCCUUAGACAUGCAAGUCGAGCGAAGGGCUUCGGCCUUAGCGGCGAACGGCGGAGUAAUGGCAUAAGCAACGUGCCCCAAAGGACCGGGAUAGUCAUGGGAAAACCGUGGGUAAUACCGGAUGUGGCCCUUCGAUGGCAUCUUUUGGAGGAUUAAACCGAGCAAUCGGCUUUUGGGAGCGGCUUAUUGUCCUAUCAGCUUGUUGGUGAGGUAACGGGCCUUACCAAGGCUACGACGGGUAGGGGGUCUGAGAGGAUGAUCCCCCCGAGUGGGACUGCGACACGGCCCACACACCCUACGGGUGGGCAGCAGUUUGGAAUAUUGCACAAUGGAGGAAAACUCUGAUGCAGGCGACGCCGCGUGGAGGACGAAGGAUCUAGGUCUGUAAACUCCUUUUGCUGGGAAAGGACUUAGGACGGUACCCAGCGAACAAGCACCGGCUAAACUACGUGCCAGCAGCCGCGGUAAGACGUAGGGUGCAAAGCGUUGUCCGGAUUUUACUGGGCGUAAAGGGGCGCGUAGGGCGGCCCGUUAAGUGUGAAGCUAAAGCUCCAGGCUCAACUUGGAAAUUAUUUCGCAUACUGGCGGGCUAGAGGAACGCAGAGGUAACUGGAAUUCCCGGUGUAGCGGUGAAAUGCAUUGAUAUCGGGGGGAACUCCAACAGCGAAGAGGCAGGUUACUUGGGCGUUAUCUGACGCUGAGGGCGCGAAAAAGCGUGGGUAGCAAACAGGAUUAGAUACCCUGGUAGGUCCACGCCCUAAACGAAUGGAUUGCUAGACGUAGGAGGUAUCCGACCCCCUCCUGUGUCCGCAGCUAACGCACUAAGCAUCCCCGCCUGGGGACUACGGCCGCAAGGUUGAAACUCGAAUGAAUUGACGGGGACCCGCACAAGCGGAUGGAGCAUGUGGAUUAAUUCGAUACUAACCGAAGAACCUUACCCAGGUUUGACCAUCGCGAGAAAAGCUGUGAAAGCAGCUCCUCUCCCACAAGGAGACUCAAAGACAGAUGUUUGCAUGGCUGUCGUCAGCUCGUGCCGUGAGGUGUACGGUUAAAGUCCGCCAACGAGCGCAAACCCUCGUUCUAUGUUGCCAGCGAGUAAAGUCGGGAAACUCAUAGGAGACCGCCGGUGUAAGCCGGAGGAAAGGUGGGGAUGACGUCAAGUCAGCAUGGCUCUUACGCCUGGGGCUUCACACAUGCUACAAUGGACGAAACAAAGGGCAGCAAGACUGCGAGGGUGGAGCUAAUCCCAAAAAUACGUCCUCAGUUCAGAUUGUAGUCUGCAACUCGACUACAUGAAGGCGGAAUCGCUAGUAAAACGCAGGUCAGCUAUACUGCGUUGAAUACGUUUCCCGGGUCUUGUACACACCGCCCGUCAAGUCACCCUGAAUUGUCUUCACCCGAAGGUCCGUGGCCCAACCGCAAGGAGGGAGGCGGCCGAAGGUGAGGGGGGGUAAGGGGGACU
rnacentral:rRNA from 1 species